GGCACGAAGCGAAUAUCCGGA
rnacentral:siRNA from 1 species